rnacentral:rRNA from 1 species
AGUCACUGACAUUAGACUACCCGGUAGUCCCAGCCGUAAACUAUGCGCGUUAGGUGUACUGGUGACCACGAGUCGACCGGGGUGCCGAAAGGGAAACCGUGAAACGUGCCACCUGGGAAGUACGGUCGCAAGGCUGAAAACUUAAAGGAAUUGGCGGGGAGCACCACAACGGGUGGAGCCUGCGGUUUAAUUGGACUCAACGCCGGAAAUCUCACCGGAUAGGACAGACAUAUGAUAGUCGGGCUGAAGACUCUACUUGAUGAUCUG